rnacentral:rRNA from 1 species
GAUGAACGCUGGCGGCGUGCCUAAUACAUGCAAGUCGAGCGAACAGAUGAGGAGCUUGCUCCUCUGACGUUAGCGGCGGACGGGUGAGUAACACGUGGAUAACCUACCUAUAAGACUGGGAUAACUUCGGGAAACCGGAGCUAAUACCGGAUAAUAUAUUGAACCGCAUGGUUCAAUAGUGAAAGACGGUUUUGCUGUCACUUAUAGAUGGAUCCGCGCCGCAUUAGCUAGUUGGUAAGGUAACGGCUUACCAAGGCAACGAUGUGUAGCCGACCUGAGAGGGUGAUCGGCCACACUGGAACUGAGACACGGUCCAGACUCCUACGGGAGGCAGCAGUAGGGAAUCUUCCGCAAUGGGCGAAAGCCUGACGGAGCAACGCCGCGUGAGUGAUGAAGGUCUUCGGAUCGUAAAACUCUGUUAUUAGGGAAGAACAAAUGUGUAAGUAACUAUGCACGUCUUGACGGUACCUAAUCAGAAAGCCAUGGCUAACUACGUG